rnacentral:rRNA from 1 species
UACGGAAGGCAGCAGUGGGGAAUAUUGCACAAUGGGCGCAAGCCUGAUGCAGCCAUGCCGCGUGUAUGAAGAAGGCCUUCGGGUUGUAAAGUACUUUCAGUCGUGAGGAAGGUGUUAAGGUUAAUAACCUUAGCAAUUGACGUUAGCGACAGAAGAAGCACCGGCUAACUCCGUGCCAGCAGCCGCGGUAAUACGGAGGGUGCGAGCGUUAAUCGGAAUUACUGGGCGUAAAGGGCACGCAGGCGGUUAAUUAAGUUGGGUGUGAAAUCCCCGGGCUUAACCUGGGAAUGGCAUUCAAGACUGGUUAGCUAGAGUCUUGUAGAGGGGGUAGAAUUCCAUGUGUAGCGGUGAAAUGCGUAGAGAUGUGGAGGAAUACCGGUGGCGAAGGCGGCCCCUGGGACAAAGACUGACGCUCAUGUGCGAAAGCGUGGGGAGCAAACAGGGAUUAGAUACC